rnacentral:rRNA from 1 species
GGAAUAUUGGUCAAUGGACGCAAGUCUGAACCAGCCAUGCCGCGUGAAGGAUGAAGGCCCUCUGGGUUGUAAACUUCUUUUAUCUGGGACGAAAAAAGGGGAUUCUUCCUCACUUGACGGUACCAGAGGAAUAAGCACCGGCUAACUCCGUGCCAGCAGCCGCGGUAAUACGGAGGGUGCAAGCGUUAUCCGGAUUUACUGGGUUUAAAGGGUGCGUAGGUGGGCAUUUAAGUCAGUGGUGAAAUCUCCGGGCUUAACUCGGAAACUGCCAUUGAUACUAUUUGUCUUGAAUAUCCUGGAGGUAAGCGGAAUAUGUCAUGUAGCGGUGAAAUGCUUAGAUAUGACAUAGAACACCCAUUGCGAAGGCAGCUUACUACGGGAUCAUUGACACUGAGGCACGAAAGCGUGGGGAUCAAACAGGAUUAGAUACCCUGGUAGUCCACGCCCUAAACGAUGGAUACUCGACAUCAGCGAUACACUGUUGGUGUCUGAGCGAAAGCAUUAAGUAUCCCACCUGGGAAGUACGACCGCAAGGUUGAAACUCAAAUGAAUUGACGGA